AAUUUCUUAAGAACUCGGCGGUCCGAGGAUUUCAAAAGCGACAUUUCCGGGGUUCGAGCAGGGGCAAGAGAAGGAACGAAACCCCGCAUGAGAAGACCGACCCUUCUCAAAGGAAUCAUCAAAGGAAGAUUCGUUCUUGGAUUCGAGCUGGGUUUUCUUCCCGGUCUUGGAGCAGGUUAGAAUCCCCCAUCCCCGAUCUUCGGCCUUUGUUUUCUUCUUCCUCUGUUCUCUAGGAUCAUCCUAGGGUUUCGAGAUCGUGGUAAGAUUCUUGAAUUCUAUGGGUCGUUCUGAUUGCGAGGAAGAGAAACGGUUCUUCUCUUCCUUCGUGGUUUCUAGUUUUGUUUGGGGUUCUUGGAGGGGUUUUAAGCAUCAGAGUCGGAUUUUUUGACUAUCUAUUGUGGAUAUAUGGCAUUCUUGCGGCUUUUAACAUGAGAGAAAGAAAAAAGCUAUUAUUUGGAGUUCGUUUCUUGAUCUUGAAAGGCGUAGAAACGGUUCUUGUUUUUAAUUUCGGUUCUGCUAUGAUUGGGAGCCCUAUCCUUUAAAUUUCUCCUUCUUAAUCCCUUUUCCCUUCAUCUUAUGGAAUUAAUAGUAUUUAGUAGCGCGAGGUGGUUGGUUUUGUGGUGGUUGGUACUAUUUCUUUCUUGAAGGAAUACACCUGAAUUUGGUUUUUUGGUAAUACGGCUUCGUUAACGAGCCCUAGUAAGGUUGGCCCCAUGGGAGACCCCCAAGUCCGCAGCAUUGUUUGCUUCCCUGUAGACAUGAUUGGCUUCAAAGGUGGUGAGCGAAGGAACGUGCCUCCGGGAAUGCAAUAAUAGUAGGAGAGCAUCCUUCUUCUCAUCCACAUGGUUGGUUACCUAAGGGGAUUACUGCUUUUAAUCACCUUCCAGUACGAUGCCAUCUGCCCUCAGGAUAGAAGUAGCAUAUAUUAGACCUCUCCAUGCAGCUCUCAGCUCAGCCAAGAGAACCGUGGUAUCAUAAAGAUUAAAUCGAGUACCACCAUUCAAUCUUCCCUCCUUCACACUGCCAUUGAAGUUGAAUUUUGGGUGCUGACAUGCAGCUGAGAAAAAAAGCAAAGGGAAUGUGCAAAAGAUCAAAAAUCUGGAUUUAUGGUAAUGAUCCAGCUCAGAAUAUUCUGCACUAAACCUGCAUUAUGUUGUUAACUCUUCCAUGUGCAACGUGUACUUGAUUCUUAUGCCGUAUCUCCUUGUUAUAAUAAUUGUCAUGGGAGAUAUUUCUUUUCCAUUUCUCAUGUAUCUAAUUUUAGUUGUUUUGUUAGCUCUAAUGUUGACAAGCCUAACUGCUACAUUGAAGAUUAAGACUGAUGAACCAAACAUCUCACCAUUGUAAGAAUUUUGCAUGUAUCUCGACCUGCUCUUUCUACUCGUAAGGAAGAACCCUAGGAUGAUAGGUCAUUUAAAUUGGCAUCAAGUGACUGUACAGAACAGAAUUCUGGUUUGUGUCUGGUGAUUGCACAUCUUCUUCAGGUCAUUCAUAAAAGUAUCGUGGAUUUGAUACAGGUGAUGUCGAACUAGCUAGCUGCUACUUUGGAACUAUUUUUCAUAUAAUGCAUUUGUUAGGCAGAUCUUAUCCUUGCUUGUUUUAAUAAAAGCAUGGAAUAUUCAUUUUCUUAAUGAUAUGUGAUUGUUUUUUUAUUGUCCUUUUUUACUGUUUGGAAUUGUAAGCUCCUUUUUAUGUAUGUAGAACUAUGAAAUGCUCAAUGUAGUUGAUAGGUGAUGUAAUAAUAUAACAUUCAUCUAUUUUGUGACACUAUCUACUGCAUUACAAAAUGACCAUGGGUCUUCACUGCUUAUGCGAGGUACUAGGUUACUCCUAGCACACGAUUUUGCUUAAUCUGGGCAGAGAUUCCUAUCAUCUUUUUUUUUUUUUGUACGAGAUGCGUAAAAUGUAUCUGUAAUCUAUUUUGUCAAAUCUUCCAGGCAGAUUUCCCUAAGACUUCGUCCCCUGGAUAUAAUAAUCAGUCUCGACCCUCAGAUCAGAAGUCAACAGACAAAGAAGCUGUGGAUGCUAGUGAUAACCAUUUACGCGAUUCUUUAACUAACAUGUCUAAGUCCUCAGAGUUUAUCUUCAGUUGAAAUACAACCAGUAUUGCACUCCACCGGCUGUAUGCCACGUUUCUAUAGCACUGCAACUACUUAUGAAACUCCAUUAUACCCAGAUCUGCAACCAUCUAAAUUUUUUAGUCCUCAGUAUGGCAUAGGUGGAUGUGCUUUAGAGACCUUAUUUAUGCCACCUAUCAUCACUGGAUAUUCUCCUCAUAGUGCUAUUCCUAUUUCUCUCAAUAGUCCUGUGAGCCCAACUUUAAUGCUACAAUGUCUGUGCCUUCUGCUAAUGCAAAUAUCAUUCCUGGACCUGGAGUCGUGCAGUUCCAAAAGUCCUAUGGAUAGCUAGGGUUGGCAAUUCAAAGGUUGAUUCCUCAUCCUAUAUAUUCAUUAUGUUCAGCAUCUUUCUUUGAAUGCAUUUGUUGGCAGGCAUCAAUUAGAUCCAAUGAUAUCAAGGGGCAACAUUGUUGAGCACCUCGCAAAUAGUUAUGAUCAACAAAAGGUGCCAUCUGCUGCAUCUUCACUUGUUCAGAGGCCUCAGUUACUGCAAAAUGGAGAUGCUGGCUUGCCAAGCCCUAUAGAAAGUGGAACUGCAAGUCCAAAUUAUCAUGGAAGCCCCCCAUAUUGAAAGUACUGACAUCAUAUCCCACUUUGCCUCUUUCCAUUCUUGUGUUUCAAGGAUCACCUGGGACAAGCCUUUCACGAAGGAGAAAUGACAAUACAAGGUUGGCACUUACUUCUAGUAGAAAAAUAAAUGCUAGUUCUGGAUGGCAGGGACAACUAGGAUGUGAAAUGGUUGAUGGUCCAAAGUCACACUCUGUUCUUGAAGAGUUGAAGUCCCAAAGGAGUCGUAGAUAUGAGCUACAUGACGUUGCUGGGUGCAUUGUUGAGUUCAGAUGUUAUUAUUCCAGCAGAAAAUACUUACACUCAUUAGCUUGAGGAGACCAGGCAGAUAAACUUUUUAUCUUAUACAGAUCUUUGAGCAUGGAAUCCCUGAGCAGAGGAGAGAACUUGCAAAUCAGCUUGCUGACCAUAUCUUAUCUUUGAGCUUUCAAAUGUAUGGCUAUGAUGUUAUUGAAAAGUGGCCUGUUCUACAAUAUGUACAUCUCAACUAACUUUGGCUCUCAAGACUCAUUUUUGCAUUAAGUAUUCUCAAUCUUUCUUUUUAUUGACAUAGAGUCGUUGAGCAAUGUACUGAUGAGUUGCAGAGUCAGUGCAUAUAGUAGAUGAGAUCUUGCAGUCUGCUUAUAUUCUUUCCAGAAACUAGUAUGGGAAUUAUGUUACACAGGUGAUGCUUUAUUUGUCUUUCUUUCUGUAAAAUUGAUUUCUUUUAUUCUCAUGGUACCAUAUCAUCGCGCCCACCGAGAUUCCGCUCUCUGACCUAUAGGGAAAUUCAUUAGCGAGAUCUUAUGAUGGUUAUAGAUUGCAUGGACUGUUUGAUGCUGCAUUUUUAAAUCGGGAAGUACUUGGCAUAUUUUCUCAGCAUGCUGAUGAACCACAUUGAUCAAACCAAACAACUUUCUCUCUCUCUCUCUCUCUCUCUCUCUCUCUCACACACACACACACAAUACGCAUUUGAGGUGUGUCAUCAAUAAUAUUCUUCUUUUCCGCUUGAUAAGUGGCCAUUGGUGAACAAAGAGUAGGUUCGCAUUAAGAACAAGAUUGUUUCAUGUGGUUGUCAGCGUAAUCACAUAUAGGCAUUGUUUGAUAUAGUUGUAGAUAGUAGAGCUUUGGACCAUAGAGCUUUUGCUAGUAGAGCUUUAAUGAAAAGCUUUAUAUUGUUUGGUAACUAUAGUACCAAAGUGUUGUGUAACUUUAACAUCUGUUAGGUAUGCAAACUAAGAGGUCUUGGAUAUUUAACAUUUGUAUAACUUUAACAACCAUGUAACUUUAACAUCUGUUUGGCACAUUUGAGAAGCUUAAUAAGUUGAUACAUCUUGAGAGGUCUCGGAAGCUAAUACCAGCUUUUUACAUGUAUUUUAAUCCUAAAAUGUUUAGAUGUGGGCCAUGUGGCUGCUGCAUAGGGUGCUUACAAAUAGGUUUGCAAAUCAAGGUUUUAAAUACUGGUAUUGAACCUUGUAUGUUUUUUCUAUCAAAAUGGUACGAUAUUGGUACGGUACUGUCGGUGAUGAUACAUACCAAAAUCGACAGCUUUCAAAAAAUGAAAAAAUAUCAUAUUGACCAGUACGGUCGGUAUGGUACCGCUGAUAUGCACUAGUACACACCUCUAUGGCUGGCGUGUACCGGUAGGACUGACGCAUACAUGUAUGGUUGUUUCAACAUCCUGUCACCUGUACUAGUACCGGUUUGUGCCGAAACGAAAUGGUACCAGUCAUAUCAUCCUAUUUCAGACUUUCAGUGGUUUUUGAAACCAUGCUAUUUCCUCCAAGUUUCUUGGUGUACUAUUGAUGGGCGAAUAAGGAGGAAUAGAAGGCUUUUAACCAAUUAACUCACCUGUUUUUAGUCAAAUACUCAUUUGAAUACAUGGGCUAAACUGCUUUAGAAGGGCAAAUUGGAUAUUUCAGAAAUUGACCCAAGAAUAACUUGCUCUUAUGAAAAACAGUGGAAUAAUUUAACCCACCUUUUCCCCCUUGAACUUACUCUAUUUAACCCAACUAAUUUGUACUUUUACUCUAUAACCAAACACAGCCUUAUAGUCUAAAAGUAUUGUAGUGAUAUGUAUGGAUUGCACGAACCAUACCACAACCAUCUAGCCUUUUCUCAACUAUUCAGGGUUUGCUAUUGCCCCAAUCGUAGUUUAAAUGAAAAGUUAUUUGUCAUAUAUGAAGCUUGAUUUGUUUGGGCUUUUCAUUGCUGGUUAUAUGAUCUUACACUUGAUCUUUGAUAAGUACUUCCUGGAUUCAAGUUCUUCCUGUUUUCCAUUUUCUUGGACAAUGAUGAAGGACUAAUUUGCAAAUUAUGUGGUUCAAAAGAUUCUUGAAGCAUGUAUUGACAAGCAACGGGAUACAUUGCUUAAUUGCAUAGAAGUUCACCAACAAGCUUCAAAGAAAUACUUAUGAGAAACACAUCAUUGCUCAGAUGGAACAUCUAUGCAGUAAAGAUACAUUCUACUUUAACAGAUCAAAUAUUUUUUCAUUUACAUGUUGGAAUAAGGGACUAUACGUAAUUGCUUGUUUUAUUAAUUUUCCUUAUAGUUACAAUAAAUAAUUUUUUUUAAUUAUUUUUUGUUAGGAAUCAUAGCAUUAUCUAAAAUUUAAGUCAUGUUAAUGUUAGUGCGGUCCUUUUCUUUGGCGUAUUUCUGAUUUUUUGUUUUCCUUUUUCUUUUUAAAUUUCAAACUCUAUUUCCUGCCAUAGUCUUGUGUAUCAUGAAUACAAUAAGUUGUACCAUAGACUGGGCACUUCCAUUGCCUUAUCAUCGUAUUUAUGCUGGUUAUGUUUCUUCCUUUCCCUUUUAUUUUAGGGAUGGUGGUGGAUGUGAUAAUUUCACACAUUGCUGAGUUUAAACGUGGGGUAUUCAAAAUGAAAAAAAGGCUACAGAAUGGGAAAAAAGGUCAUAACUGUUGAAUAUGAUUUCAGGUCCAACUUGGCUGGUCCAACUUCUGAAUGGACUAGUACGGCAAAUUGGUGCUUGACAAAUUGGAAUGGGCUCAAAUUUAUCAACCGAUUGAGAUUUGGAUCAAUCUUGGAUUUACAUUUAGGGCCUGUUUGGAAAAUCCAGCAAGAUUAAGCUGGAUUUUCUAUUGGAUUCAAGGAGUGGACAGUCUAUUUGGAUAGGGCCCAUAUUAACACAUACCUCCCUCAGUCCAAAUCCUGUGGGAUGAAAAAAAAAAGACCUCCAUAGGUCUUUUUCCAUCCUGCAGACCAACAGGCCUACAUAUAAGAUUUAGGCUAUGAUUAGGACAGGCCUUUAGAAGAAUACAGGCUGGGAAGUCCAACAGGGCUGAUUCAUGCAGAAAAUCCAGCCUAAUCCCACUAGACUUUCCAAACAGACCCUUAGUUGUUUAGAUUUUCAUUUUGCAACCAGUAUUUGAAUUUGCCAGUGUGUAGACUCCUCUCUUUCCACCCUUUGUGUAUCUUUUGUACUACAUAUUUAUCUCUUUGGGUUCAGCUAUGGAUGCAGACCCCCCCCCCCCCCCCCCCCCUCUUCCCCUCCUCUUCUCUCUCUACGCACGCACACCCACAUGUGUCUAAAUAUCUUGUGCACACACAGAUCAUAAGAAUCAUGUUGCACAUUGAUUGCAUAGCACACGAUGUAAUAAGCACCACUUUUUUCUGUGAUAGUUAUCUUAUUAUAGGCUUUUAUUUAUUUGCUUAUUCUCAAAUUCCAUAGCAUAAGUUCUGUACUUCUAAUUAGUAAUGCUUUGAAGAAUCCAAUUUUUUAUUGCUGCAUAUUUAUCUCAGAGGCAGCAUUCAGUGGUUUUGAUGGGAUAAGGAUGGUUGCUUAAGGGUAUUUUAUUUUAUUCUUAUUCUUUCAACUGUAAGUUUGUGACUGGAAACCAUCAUUCUGAGGCAUGAAAUUUGAAUGAAAAAGCUACAUGUAGACCUGCUAUGCAAUUCAGUUUUGAAUCAUUGUCUGGGCUUGCGCUACCUAAUCCUGAUAAUGAUGAAGAAAACUUGUAAUUUGAAAAGUUUAAUUGGGAGCAGCUGACAACUACCUUAAAGUUGUACAGUUCAGGGCUUCAUAAGUAGUUUUAUACCAUAUAUACGGACAUAUAAUGUGUUAUAUAUUUAAAAACGAAGAAUGGAAUUUAUGCAUUCCUACAUUAUA